AAAUGUUAUGGGGGUUAUGUCUAGCUUUGAAUCCACUGAAUUCACAUAUUACAGAAAUCGGAUCAGAGCAAAGCUGAUGGGUAACAAAGAAGUUGAUGUAGAGGGUCCCUCCAUUAAGUCUCUACAUAAUUAUCGAGGAAAAUGUUUCCUUCCUCCUACAAUUAUGCUAACAAAUCCAGAGAGGGAAUACUUCACACUGAUGCUAGUAUGAUGCUAGUAUGAAAACAAGAUUAUUCUGUGCCACACACAAAUUGUUCAGAAAGGGGACAUUGGUGGAUUUGCAUUUUGGGUACAGUUCAAAGAAUUUUCAAUAUGAUGGUGGAAGAUCAGAGGGAGGACAAAUGGGAAAAGUUGACAGAGAAAGAAGAGAAAAGAAUUAGGAAAUAUCUGGAAUAAAUAUGAAUGAGGAGGAUGUACUUAAUCUUGUCAGACUUUGACAUGCAAGGCUUUCUAUAUUUAUAUGUAUACUGGAAUAUCAUUUUGAUUGUAAAAUCUCAU